rnacentral:rRNA from 1 species
UACAGAGGGGGGCAAGCGUUGUUCGGAAUUACUGGGCGUAAAGGGCGCGUAGGCGGCCUUCUAAGUCGAACGUGAAAUCCCUGGGCUCAACCCCAGGAACUGCGUCCGAUACUGAAAGGCUUGAAUCCGGGGAGAGGGAUGCGGAAUUCCAGGUGUAGCGGUGAAAAUGCGUAGAUAUCUGGAGGAACACCGGUGGCGAAGGCGGCAUCCUGGACCGGUAUUGACGCUGAGGGCGCGAAAAGCCAGGGGGAGCAAACGGGG